GCCCGUCGCCCGCGCCGCGGCGGGAAAAUCCGACGCGGCCGUGGGGCCGCCGCCCCCUUCUGCCCUCGCGAGCUUGCCCGGGUCGGGCCGCUGUAAUGGAGGAGACGGAUGCCGAAGACCAGCAGCGAUUCGUUUACGCACAGAGGUUAAAGGCAGCAGUUCACUACACUGUUGGUUGUCUUUGCGAGGAAGUUGCAGUGGACAAAGAGAUGCAGUUCAGCAAACAAACCAUCGCAGCCAUCUCAGAGCUGACUUUUCGACAGUGCGAACAUUUUGCCAAAGACCUUGAAAUGUUUGCGAGACAUGCGAAAAGAAGCACAAUUAACACUGAAGAUGUGAAGCUCUUAGCCAGGAGGAGUAAUUCACUGCUAAAAUAUAUCACAGAGAAAAGUGAAGAGAUUGCUCAGGUUAACCUAGAACGAAAGGCACAGAAGAAAAAGAAGUUAGAGGAUGGAAACAAAACUUCAAGGGAGCCAGCAGAGGCUGAAGUAGAGGAAAGUGAGGAUUAAACACCCUCGCUGCUUGGAAGAUGCAGCCUGCAGCAGGUAGAGCCCUCUGGAAAUGUAUAUUGCCACCGAGGGAAUUUUGAAGGAAUGCGAAGAUGGAAAAAAAAAAAGCUCAGCGGUGUUUUGUGUUGUAUCCCCAAGUCACUAGCUACAAAAACUCAUUUAAAAGAGAACUGGAAACUCUCAAAUAAAAUACUUCAUGUCUCCCUCAAGCAUAUAAAGAAGGGAUCUCAUCUGGUCCUCACAGCAACUCUUAGGAGGCAGGUGGUAGGUAGUUUUUUAAGUCCUCAUUUUAUGGAAGAGGAACCGAGACUUUAGUCUAGAGUCCUCACUAGAUAUGUUGCCACCUUCUCAAAACAGUCUGUCAAGUCUCUUGAAGCCACCCCACUUAUUAUCCCAUGAAAAUGUCCUUUUUUGUCAUCUGUAUGUUUGCACACUCUUCCUUCUAGGGUGCAACAGCUCUGUCAGGGUGUGGGUGGCAUGGGUCUUUUGUAUAAAUGCAAGUUCUGUGCAUAGUGGGUGCUCAGAAUGUUUAAUGAAAAAAUCAUUAAAUAAAAUCAGCAAAAUACACCAAGGAUAUAA